rnacentral:rRNA from 1 species
GUGGGGAAUUUUGGACAAUGGGCGAAAGCCUGAUCCAGCCAUGCCGCGUGCAGGAUGAAGGCCUUCGGGUUGUAAACUGCUUUUGUACGGAACGAAAAGACUCUGGUUAAUACCUGGGGUCCAUGACGGUACCGUAAGAAUAAGCACCGGCUAACUACGUGCCAGCAGCCGCGGUAAUACGUAGGGUGCAAGCGUUAAUCGGAAUUACUGGGCGUAAAGCGUGCGCAGGCGGUUAUAUAAGACAGAUGUGAAAUCCCCGGGCUCAACCUGGGAACUGCAUUUGUGACUGUAUAGCUAGAGUACGGCAGAGGGGGAUGGAAUUCCGCGUGUAGCAGUGAAAUGCGUAGAUAUGCGGAGGAACACCGAUGGCGAAGGCAAUCCCCUGGGCCUGUACUGACGCUCAUGCACGAAAGCGUGGGGAGCAAACAGGAUUAGAUACCCUAGUAGUCC